rnacentral:lncRNA from 1 species
CUUUUGCGUCAGUGAGAAUCAAAUGAUUCAACAGUGAAAAGCAAACUCUUGGACUGGAAUAGCAAGAUGACCCAUCUCUAAACAAAGCAAACUGACUAGGAUUCUCUCAUGCUUAACAUGCAUCUUACUGGUUCUUUAUGAAGAGCUUUCUCUUGUUCUGGAGACCAGAAGGCCAAAAUCAAAAGUAUGGGCAGGCUUGAUUUCUUUAGAAGACUCCAGCGGAGAACUGUGUCUCCUUGCUUCUGAUUCUACAUCUCCAUCCAUGGGCCACUGUUUCAGCAACCUCAGCCAGUGCAACACAACCUCAGCCAAGAAGAGUAUGCAGAGAAAGGAGUCCCCUACCUGCCACAAAACUGUUGUCUGAAAACUGUCUCAUAUUGUCUCAAGUUGUCAUUCAUUGUGAAUUAGACCUGUUUAACAUGUAAUCUGCAACAUGCUUCACUGUCUAAUUUUCCAGAGCCCCUCAUAUAAGGAACUGUAUUAUUGGUAUAAUCAUCAUGGUGAAGAAGUUGGUAUGUGGGGGAGAGAUGACAGAAACAGAGAGUAAGUCAGAGCUGGCUGCCUGACAGAUAAAAAGGAAAUGACCAAAAAAAAAAAAAAAGACACAGAAGAAUACUUUGUUGUCCACACAGAAAAGGGAAGUGUAGGUAAGACAGCAGUAGACUAAGAUUCUUAAGACUCAAGUUCUAGUCUUAUUUAUUAGCUAUGGGAGGCCUUGAGGGAGUUCUAGAAUUAAGUGAUCUCUCUUUAUAAAAUAGGAACAGUAAUAACUUCCUGGCUAACUCCCUGGCUGUCUCACAAUGCUGUAGUAGUAAGAAAUAAUUUUAUAAUUAAAGACUAUUUUAGGGCUGAUUACAUUUUUGGGCAGUGGCUCAUACAUGUAAUUUCAACAUUUUGGGAGGCCAAGGUGGGCGGAUUGCUUGAGCCCAGGAAUUCAAGACCAGGCUGGGCAACACAGACCUUGUCACUACAAAAGAAAAAAACAUUAGCUAGGCGUGGUGAUGUAUGCCUGUGGUCCCAGCUACUCAGGAAGCUGAGACAGGAGGAUCACCUGAGCCUGGGAGGUCGAGGCUACAGUGAGCCAUGAUCACACUACUGCACUC